rnacentral:rRNA from 1 species
GAGUUUGAUUCUGGCUCAGAACGAACGCUGGCGGUGCGUUUUAAGCAUGCAAGUCGAACGGUAAAAAGAGAGCUUGCUCUCUUUGAGAGUGGCGGACUGGUGAGUAACGCGUGGAUGAUCUACCUUUGAGAUGGGGAUAGCUUCUAGAAAUAGGAGAUAAUACCGAAUAACCUUGUUGUGUUUUGAUGUAACAAGAAAAGGAGCGUCAGCUCCGCUCGAAGAUGAGUCUGCGUCCCAUUAGCUAGUUGGUAGGGUAAAGGCUUACCAAGGCGACGAUGGGUAUCCGGCCUGAGAGGGUGAACGGACACAUUGGGACUGAGAUACGGCCCAAACUCCUACGGGAGGCAGCAGCUGAGAAUCUUCCGCAAUGGACGAAAGUCUGACGGAGCGACACCGCGUGAACGAUGAAGGCCGGAAGGUUGUAAAGUUCUUUUGCAGACAAAGAAUAAGGAUAGAAGGAAAUGA